UGUGCUGCACCCAUUAACUCAUCAUUUACAUUAGGUGUAUCUCCUAACGCUAUCCCUCCCCGAUACCCCCUCCCCACAAUAGGACCCAGUGUGUGAUGUUCAAAGAAAGGGAGAACACGAGCAAGAAAAGUAGACAGAAAUGGGCGUAACUGGGGCAAGUAGAACUGAUCAAGGUAAAUAGAGACAUAAAUAGAGAAAGUAAUUUGAAGGACAUUGUGUUAACACACACAGGAAUGUGUACGCACACACACACUUGCACAUACACAUUUCAUCUUGUCUUCCGGACGAUGACAUUCAGGAAUAAGCUCUUCAGUUUGGGAAAUAGCUGCCCAGAGUUGUGACUGAGAAAUGUGUUUCAGCUUAAAGAGACUAGAGUAACAUGUGGUUAAGGGACUCCUGCGAAAUGAGCAGUACCAAGUGUGCAAUGACUGUGCACAAAGGCAGGUUUUAGAGGCUGUGUAACAGGGUGGGUGGUCUGUGCUUUAACCUGGCUUCACUCCUUUAACUGGUUGUGACUCUGCAUAAGUCAUUUAAUCCACAGCAAAAGAUAGAUGCUUGAAAACUGCUUUAAUACAUGCGUAUUUAUUUAUGUUGACAACCUCUGCAUGUCACUCAGUAAAAAUUUCCAGGCUACUUCCAAUAAUAAUGAAACAGAAGGAUAAACUAAAUUAUGUCAGAGGAACAUAAUAUGUAAAAAAUAUAAUAAAAUUAAAGAUGAGAUUAGCACCUGAAAAUCUCUCUAUUAUGACUCGAAAGCCUACUAAUUUGGCCCUGAGAGGUAGGGCCCUUCCUAAUUUUGACAGUGAGAAAUAUAUUGUCCGCGGUCCUGAUAUAAAGGACCUGUGGGGGCAGAGGGCAGUACCCUGGAUAACGCCCCUCCAGUGGAGAAAGGAAAGAUCCCAUUAUGACCGCUACGUCCCUCUCGGAAGAUGGCAGAGGAGGCCAGCACUCCUGCCAGUACACGACAAAGUGUCACAGCCCAAAUUAUCCAGCUUCAUCUUCACUAUCUAUACCAGCCAUGUUCAAUGACUUAUAAAAAGCAGUGGUACUCUUCUAGUCCAAUUAAAUCUUGCACAAGCACACAGAAAGCAGGGCGCUGGGUCAUUGUUUCAGAGGGGGAACGGCUGACCAUUUUCUUAGGGCUUCUCUUUCCCCACGCAGAUACUGGUGAGGCCUGAUGAGGCACCUUUGCUCGGAAUCUCAAACGUCUGAAAAUCCCUUGUCCGAUCUAGGCGAAAGGAUGGACAUCAGAAAGGAAGGAGGGAGGGAGGGAAGAAAUAGAGGAAUGAAGGGAGGCAGGAAAGAAUGUUGGUUUUUACUGCGACUUGCGCAGGAUUCUUGUGGAAGCCAGUAGGGAAGUUGUUUUGAAUCGGAUAAAUUGGGGCUUCCUCUUCUUGUUCAUCGAGACCACUCUUUUGGCUCUUUUCAUUCCAAUAAAAAAACCACGAUACACUAAGAGACUGAAGAGAUAGUACAAUGCACUUUUAAGUGUCUGGGCUCCAAACCAAACUGUCUGGGUUUGAAUCCUGGCCCUGCUACUUAUUGCUGUGAUACUGGAUAAGUUACUUAACUUCUCUGUGCCUGUUUUCCCAUCUGCAGAAAUAGGUGCUAAUAGUACCUACCUCAUGGGAUUGUUGCGAGGAGAAAAUGUGUUAGCAUGCGUACGGUGUUUAGAAUGGUGUUUGGCACACGGUCUGGGAAUAAAUGUCAGCUGUCACUAUGUUGUGGGUAUAUAGAUACACUACUCCUUGCAAUGUCAGUUUUUGCCCACACAAUUGCCAGCCCUCUGCCCUCAGGUGAGCCAGCCUGUCUCAUCUCAGGGCCUCACGAUGGCUUAGCUCACCCAGCAGUGGGAGCAGAUGACUGAGCUGCAGCCAGGGUUCUGUGAGUGUGGUGGGCUGAGGAGGGAAAGGAAUGAGGUUUGGAGUCCUUUUGUUGUUUUGCUUGGGUCAGAAGGAAUCUAUGGUAGCAUGCAGUCAUGAUCUUAUUUUACAGCUGCAGGAUGUUGGUAGACAAACUUCUCCCUAAUCUAUCUGAUCUAUAAGCCCAAAGGGCCUAUAAUAGGAGGCGGUCGCAGGGGGUCAGUGGCCUUCUCCUUCCCAGCAGCUGUGUGAGGUGGCUGAGCUCAGAGAAAGAGCACUUGGCUGUGGUGCAACUGGCCUAAAAUUCACAGCCCCAUUCUCUUGAUCUGAGCUGCUUCCGGGGAAUAAGGUGGCACCCAGCGUCUCAGGUGCUAUAUAGGGUACUUCCCAAGAGUUUCCCAUAUCGGUUGUAAGGUGCUGUCUGCACAUGAGGGAUGGUUUUAUGAAGACACAGGGGAGAGUUACCAGCAGAGUGACGGCCAAAGCUUUGAGCUAGAUAGUUUUCAUUUUCCUGACACAUCGCCCUAGGGUUUUCCCGAUGUUUCCAUCAAUUUGUGAAGUGCAGUGAGUGGUCAUGUCCCACAGGGAGUUUACCAUUUACUCUGGAAGACCAAACUUACGGGCUACACUCUGGGUACAGACCGUGCUAGUCCUGUGGGGAGUUGGGAAAGAGGACUGGGAGGCUUUGUGGCUGAGGAGGGGCUUCAGGGCAGCAAGGAUGAUGGCUGGGUUUGAACAGUCAGUGGAGAAGGAAGUGUGGAAAAGCCAGAGAAGUAGACAUGGAUGUGUGCAUGUCAGAGAGGGCAGGGAGACCGGGUUCAUGGAGGUGGCAGAGGCAGCACAUUGAUCUCUGCUUCUGACAGAAAAUCAGAGGGGAUAUCGGGGGGGUGGUCUGGCUACAGUACGGGCAGCCUUGAAGCCCUAGUGGAAUAAUUUCAACUGGAUUCUAUGGAAAAUUAGAUAUGACAGUGUAGGAGAGCUUAUCUUCUAACUGAAACCAGCUGGGAAUUUUUCCCGAUAGAGUCAAGGGCAGGGCAGAACGAGGGCCUUUGGUAGCAUGUGCAAAUGUACACGCGUGUAGCUAGUGUGUGUGGCCCACCAUGCUUCUAACCUACCUUUACCUCUUCUAGUUCUUCAGAUCUCUUAACCCUGUUGUCUGUGAGCAUGGACAAUCCGGGGCUUACACAGACAAGACCACAGUGUGCCGUCUUGUCAGAAGGAGAAACUGGGGCACUCUAUUCUAAAGAGGCUGGUUCUAGGACUUCUUACUCCACUGUGGAGUAAGACCCAGAGUCUUACUGCCAGGCCCCUUGCUUCAGGGAUCUGGCUUCUAAAGUUAGUUCUUUUCCUUUAUCUCAUAAAGAGGGAAAGGAUGUGCCUAAGAUAGGUUAUUUGGACGAAUGGCCAUUGUAACUGCCUCCUAUCAACACAGGUGGAUAGAGGCAGGUGUGGGGAAGAGGGCUGCCUGGAUCUGGGGUUCUCAAUCCCCCAUACUCCUUGGCCUGUUGUUGAGGGGGAGCUAGAGGAGGGGUGCAGACUUAGCAGAUUAAGAAAGAUAAACGCUUACUCCUUAACAGUAGGAAAGAGGGAUGGAAGAGGAAGAUCGAAAUCUGAGGCACGAGGAGUGGCCUAUCCUGGUGGAGGCAGGAGAGACACGUGUCCUCUACAUGCCCAUCCAAGUCUCUGAUAGGGUGGUCCUUGCUCUGAAGGAAGAGUGUGGGCCACAGGCCAUGGGGAGGCUCUGAGGUUGUGGGUGCUCCCGAUCCCCUCUCCAGAGCUGCUACCAUUGUCUUUGCCCUUGGAGUGCUCUCCUCCCACCCCCACUGCCUCUUGUUCUGUUUCUCCCUUGGGCCAUGAGAAUGGCAGGGAGCCCAGCCAGGGCCUGGACGGCGGCCUCAGCUCCCUGUUCUCAAUAACUGUGUGUGUAUGCAUGUGUGCAUGUGGCGUGCGUGUGUAUGUGUGAGUGCCUGUGUGUGUGCGCAUGUGUGUAGAGGCUGGGGUUGGGGUCAACAACAGAUCACAGCACAGGAGUAGAGAGCUUCUGGGAGGAUGGGGUCACCCAUGGGUCACGCCCUGCACCCUGGAGCCCAGAGGACCCUUCGCUCAAACCCACCGCCAGCUGACAACACGGGAGCAGCCAGAGCCACUUUCUUCGCUGCCCAGAGGAGCCUGGGAGAAGCCGGAGGUGUAAGUCAAGCUGUAGAGGACUGGGUGAGGCUGAGCCCCGUGAGAAGUGGGAGGAGCCAGGGAUGCUUAGGAGGGGCAGGCACCGUGCAGCGAGAGAGGAGGGAAAGGGGAAGCGUUCGGGCCUCUCUGCCCCUCUGUCCCCCUCUUGCUGCAUAGUAGCCGCAUCCAUGUCUCUUGCACUCUGCAAUCUGGAAGCCACCGCCAGAAGCUGAAAAUCCCACGUAGAGCAGCAAAAGGUAUGAGGAGUAGCACAAAGUUAAUGGCCAAUGGAGGCUCCCCAAAGUGCUUGGUAGGUGGUGGUCCAGUGUCCAAAGGCAGGAGUGCUGGGGUAACCCCAUAGCUGGGGGUCAUAUGGGAGAGACUGAGGAACUUUAGUUUGUGGACUCUCAGUCAACCGUGUUGCCGAGGAGGGGAAGGGGAAGUAGAUGAGGCGGUUCUCUGGACAAGACCCAAAUCCUGCUUCUACAUACUGGUGCUCACAAUGGCCAGUGCCCUGGAAAAGCUCGGGAAUAAAUACACCUGGGCCUUAGAAAGCAGAGGGGGAGGAUAAUGCCAUCCAGUGGGAGCGUUCAUUUGUUUCCUCAGCCAACCUCUGUGUCAGGCUUUCUGGGAACAAGGGCUGGAUGAACAAGGCCUUGGGAGUUCCUGUGGGGAGGGCCUGGGGGUGAAUGGGCAGUGUGGCUGGGCCGGCGGUCACUUCUCCUCUGCUUAUCCAGGCUUGAGGAUGGAUUCCUGGCUCCUGGUGCAUUGCCACUCCCUGCCACCCUCCUCCAUGUCUUCUAUCUUCUCCUGGUGGCGCCAGGCCUUGCUUCAUGUCCCAACAGGAGCCUCUGGGGCUGGCACAGCACUCGCUGCCUACAACCUGGGCCUGGUGGUUCUCCUAGGGUGCCUCUGGGAGGUCAUGGCCACCCCGCUGCUGGCUAACUGCAGCUACUUCUGCCAGCCAGUGGACUACAGAUGGAGUGAGCAUGGAAUGAGGGUAUGGCAGGGAGCAGGAAGCAAGCCUGGAGAGGGUUAGGAGGGACAACUUCAUAACAAUCAGAGGUCAAGGAGGUAUCACCUGAGCCUUUUGAUGAGAGACAGGGGACUGGCUGGUUAUGUGCAGGCUUUAGAGUCAGAUAACCUCGGACCUCGGUUUGAAUCUCAGCUCUGCCAGUUACUUGCUGUGCGACUCGGUGGCACACCUAACUCUUCUAGGACUCAAUUUUCUUAUUUAUAAAAUUGAGAUAAUAACACCUAUUUGAUAAAGGGAAAUGAUUGAAAGAAGAUGGAAUCAGAUAAUAUAUGAUAGACAUAUAUGGAAAUGUUUAGCACAGGGGCCAGCACACACUGAGUGGUAGCUAAGUAGUGAUUUCAUCACUGUUAGCUGUUCUCUGUUUCAACUAGAAGCAGAACAAAAGGCUUCCUGUAACAGAAGACUCCAGCUGAAACCUGUCACCAGGUAGCUGAGGCUUGUCACCGGGUGAUAUGGAUGUUGAGUCAUUGGAUGUUGGUGAUGGGCUCAAGUCCUGUGACUCAAAGUAUGAUCCUUGGGCCGGCAGCAUCAGCAUCAUCUGGGAGCUGGUUGGAAAUGCAGAAUCUGUACUCCACCCCAGGCACACUGAUGAAGAAUCUUCUUUCAACAAACAAGAUGCCCACAUGCUCAUUAGAUUCCAGGGUUCUGGGCUGGGGCACAUUUGGGGAGUCCUUCUGUGGUCACGCCAAUAGCUUCUCCCCUUUUUGCCUGUGCGAACAGGCAUCUUUCUGCAGACAGGUAGGCACUGUGGAAUCAGCGGUGCAUAGAACAGUGAGGAUUUGGGGCUGAACUCAGCCCAGGUGGGACAAGCUGUGGCACCAGCCGGACUGCAAUCUGAUGGAACUUCCCCGUCCUGCCCAGCAGAUGGCGAGCGUGUGCUGCUGGUGCCUCUUUCCAAAGGCCGUUGAAUUGCUUGACAGCAUCUAGAAGACCACCUGAAGCUUUCACACUAUGAGACCUUAGAUCCUGCGAGGGUUUGAAUUUCAAAGGCCUCAAUUAAAGCACGCGGUGUUCUUUAUUUUAUGAAUGAAGCCAGAGCAGCCCACCUUCCUGCAUCUCUACCAUCAUGGCACCAUGCCCUCUGAUGGGUGGGCUGGAGUCAAAUACGUAGCAGGCAGCCAGCCUUCUUCAUAGGGAUGCUUAAUUCUUUGAUCCAUGUCUUCAUGUAUCUGUAUUAUGGACUGGCCAGGUUGUGGACUCCUAUGUGGCCCUACUUCUGGUGGAAACGAUAUCUUACCACCCUACAGCUGGGUCAGUUUGUGGCCACUGCUGCCCCCUCUUGUUACAGUCUCCUCACCGAGUGCCCCUUCCCUGAUGGGUUCAAUACGUCUGUGCUCCUGUAAGCCCUCAGCUUCCUCAUUCUCUUCCUCAACUUCUACCACCAGACACACCUGAGGGGCAAGCAAGACAGGCUGAAGUAAGGGCAGGACCCAGGGACUGAAACCAGCACAGCGUCCCCACAGAGAACUGGGUGGAAGGCAGCGUGGCUUCCAGCUUACUGGUGCCAAGCAGAUUCCUCUGGGUUUCCAUUGUAUCCUCUGAAGCAAGGAGGAGGAUUGUCUUCUGUCCAGAUCUCAGGAUCAAAGAAAUAGGUCCAACUUCCUGUGCUCACUUCAGUUAGAGCACUUCCCAUGUGACUUUGUAGCUUUGUGUGCAUCUCCUUCCCCUGCUAGACCUGAACCCCCCACUGGAGGGACUCUCUUAUUCUCCAUGUUCCCCACACCUGGAAUUUUAAUAAACAUCUCAACAAACA